UUAAAGGCACUGAUGAGAGAGAGUACUUGGACAUAAUCUUUUCCAGAGAGCCCCUGUUCGCUGAAAGGGGGUAAAGAUUAGCUCAAUGAAAAUGGUCUCUGAGCUGCACUUCGAAACCGCAUGGGAGUAGGAUGUGACGGGCGCACCCGUUAUAGCGCUAGGGUAUAAACUGCUUUUUGAAAGUCGUACCCGAAAAAAGAUCGAUGCAAAGCAUUGAUGAACUUGGGUGGUAACACGGAGUCUAACUCUCGUCCCUUUA
rnacentral:ncRNA from 1 species